rnacentral:rRNA from 1 species
AUACGUAGGUGACAAGCGUUAUCCGGAUUUACUGGGCGUAAAGGGCGUGUAGGCGGUCUUGCAAGUCAGAAGUGAAAUUCCUGAGCUCAACUCGGGCGCUGCUUCUGAAACUGCAGGACUUGAGUGCUGGAGGGGAUAGCGGAAUUCCUAGUGGAGCGGUAAAAUGCGCAGAUAUUAGGAAGAACACCGGUGGCGAAGGCGGCUAUCUUGACAGUAACUGACGCUGAGGCGCGAAAGCGUGGGGAGCAAACAUGAUUAGAUACCCUGGUAGUCCGCACUGUAAACGAUGAAUGCUAGGUGUAGGGGGUAUCGACCCCUUCUGUGCCGCAGUCAACACAAUAAGCAUUCCGCCUGGGGAGUACGGCCGCAAGGUUGAAACUCAAAGGAAUUGACGGGG